AGGACGAACGCUGGCGGCGUGCUUAACACAUGCAAGUCGAGCGGUAAGGCCUUUCGGGGUACACGAGCGGCGAACGGGUGAGUAACACGUGGGUGAUCUGCCCUGCACUUCGGGAUAAGCCUGGGAAACUGGGUCUAAUACCGGAUAUGACCUCAGGUUGCAUGACUUGGGGUGGAAAGAUUUAUCGGUGCAGGAUGGGCCCGCGGCCUAUCAGCUUGUUGGUGGGGUAAUGGCCUACCAAGGCGACGACGGGUAGCCGACCUGAGAGGGUGACCGGCCACGACUGGGACUGAGACACGGCCCAGACUCCUACGGGAGGCAGCAGUGGGAAUAGUGCACAAUGGGCGAAAGCCUGAUGCAGCGACGCCGCGUGAGGAUGACGGCUUCGGGUUAGUAACCUCUUUCGAGCGAGGACGAAGCGACGUAAGUCGACGGUACCUGCGAAGAAGAA
rnacentral:rRNA from 1 species